GGUGUGGUGGCAAGUGGUAAGGUGUAGUCUCGUAAACCAAAGAUCAUGGUUUGAUCCCCAUCCAUGCCU